rnacentral:rRNA from 1 species
GAAAAGGCUUGCGGUGAAUGCCUAGGCACCUUGAGGGCGAGGAAGGGCGUGAUGAAGCGACAGGAAGUACUUCAGGGAGUUGAAAAUAAACGUGAAUCCAGGAGAUUCAAAAUAAAUUAACCCUGGACACUGCAGAUCAAUGGGCAAGCGACAACCUGGCGGUGAACGUCUUUGCCAGCCGAAAGAAAUAAGAAGCGAUUCCCGUGGGCAGCGGGCGAAAUGGGGCGACCUAACCGUGAUAGGGGUUGUGGGAGAGCAAUAAAGCGUCGUGCUGCUGAAAACUGAAAUAGAUGAAGUCGCACCCUAGAUGGCAAGUCAAUGUUAAGCAAUCUUGGCUUAUGCUCUGGCCAAGUAGCAUGGGGGCAUGGGAUCCCGUAACAGAAUCGAAAGAAGACCGCGCAGGACUAAAAUCCUCACGGGUGACCGAUAGCCGAAAUGUGCAUGAGGGAAGGUAAAAAGGGGCCCCAUCAGAAGUGAAAUAGAACAAUGAAACCAUCAACUCCCAAGCAAACCGGUGAGCCUAAGCUCUGACCGCAUGCCUAUUGAAAUAGGCCGGCUCAUAAACCCGGUCUUUUAAUUAGAACCCGCCGGGCCAUGGCGAGAAACCCCAGUCUUCAUCAAAAGGCAAUUGCUUUAUGGAACAAUGAGUGAUCUAUCUAUGAUAGGGAUGGAAACAAGGUGAAACUAGGGUGGGGUCCGAGACAGGCGUUGUUGAAAAAUCGGCCGGACCUGAGGUUGGUUUAAGGGGUGGAAAUCCCGCUCGGACCCAAAUUCAGCUGGUUUCUCCCCGAAAAUACGUUGAGGCGCGCAGUUGACCCUGGGCAUCUGAGGGGUAAAACUGUUUCGGUGCGGGCCCAUGAGAGCAGUACAAAAUCCCAGUGAAACUCUAGAUAUAAAUGCCAGCCUCAAAAUGCUUCCAGGGUCAAGUCAUCCCAGUGAGACAGUAGGAAUAAACCUGUCAUCAGGAGAGCAAGCCAGAUCUACUGACUAAAACCCCUAAAUGACCACUCAGUGAAGUACUAGAGUGGGCAACCAGGAGGUUGCCUAGAAGCAGCCACAUAUGCAGAAAGAGUGCAUGUGGCUCUCCACUGAUCAAGCAGCAUCUGCAUAGAUGAACAGGAAUACGUGGCAGAUCUACCCGAAGCUGUGGAUAUAAAUGCAUCAGUAGAGGCAUUCCAUAUAGAAACAACCUGAGGCAGUGGACAGAGACAGGAGGCAGAUGUCAACUGAAGUAAGCACAGAGCAUUGGUGAGAUCCAAUGCCCCGAAACCAAAGGGUUCCUCCAAGGGUCGUCCAGGAGAAUUGGAGUCAAGGGCCCUAGAUCCAAGGCUGAGAGAAGGAGGCAUAGUCAGUGGGCAACAAUUAGAUAUUCCUGCUACCCUUGUUGGUCCCGAGGGACGGAGGAGGCUUCGUUUAGCCGAAGAUGGUUAUCGGUUCAAGACACCAAGGUGUCCCUGUUUUCGGUGAAGGGGUAGAGAAAAUGCCCCGAGCCAAUGUUCCGAGUACCAGGGCGCUACGGCUGCCAGCAACCAUGCUAUACUCCUGCAGGAAAGCCAGAACGACUGGCCUUAAAAGGGUACCCACCCGAAACCGACCUGGUGGUAGAGAAUACCUUCCAGGGGCGCGAGACAACUCUCUCUAAAGAACUCCUUGCAAAUAGCCCCGUAACUUCCGGGAGAAGGUGCCUCCUCACAAAGGGUCGCAGUGACCAGCCCGGCGACUGUUUACCAAAACAGGGUCUCCGCCGAAGUCAACAUUCCAUGUAGCUGAGGCCUGACGCCUGCCCAGUGCCGGAGGGUCAAGGAAGUUGGUGACCUGAUGACAGGGGACCGGCGACCAGAAGCCCGUGAACGGCCCGUAACUAUAACGGUCCUAAAAUUGGAAAUUCCUUGUCCGGGUAAGUUCAAGCCCGCACGAAAGGCAUAACGAUCUGGGCACUGUCUCUGGAGAAAACAGUGAAAUAGACAUGUCUGUGAAGAUGCGGACCUGCACCUGGACAGAAGACCCUAUGAAGCUUCUAUUCCUGGGAUUGGCUUUGGGCUUUUCCUGCGCAGCAAGGUGGAAGGCGAAGAGGCCCUCCCUUCCGGGGGGCCCGAGCCAUCAGUGGUCUCACUCUGGAAGAGCUAAAUUCUAACCUUGUGUCAGGACUGGGCCAAGGGACGAUCCAGCAGUUUCACUAUGGGGCGUGGAAGCCCUCCAAAAAUAACAGGCGUGCAAAGUUUCCCUCGGGCCGGACGGAGAUUGGCCCUCGAGGGUGCAAAGGCAGAAAGGGAGCUUGACUGCAAGACCCACCCGUCGAGCAGGGACGAAGAGAUCCUUAGGUGAUCCGACGGUGCCAGUGGAAGGACCGUCGCUCAACGGAUAAAGUUAUCUGGAUAACAAGGCUGAUCUUCCCCAGAGCUCCACAUCGACCCCGGAAGGUUUGGCACCUCGAUGUCGGCUCUUCGCCACCUGGGGUGUGCAUAGCCUGUUCCAAAGGUUGGGCUGUUCGCCCAUUAAAACCGUAGGCCGUGAGCUGGGUUCAGAACGUCGUGGGUUCGGGUUUCCAUAUCGGUGUGGGCGUUAGAGCAGAGGACCCUUUCCCUAGUACGAGGGACCGGGAAGGACGCACCUCUGGUGUACCAGUUAUCGUGCCCGGUAAACGCUGGGUAGCCAAGUGCCGGAGCGGAUAACUGCUGAAAGCAUCUAGAGUAUUAAGCCCACCCCAAGAUGAGUGCUCUCCUUCCCGACCCCCAGGCCUCCGGUAGCACAGCCGAGACAGCAACGGGUUCUCCGCCCUGCGGUGAUGGACAGAGUUUUGAAAUUCAAGAAGGUCACGGCGAGACGAGCCGUUUUAUCAUUACGAUAGGUGUCCAGAAGUGGAAGUGCAGUGAUGUAUGCAGCUGGGCAUCCUAACAGACCGGUAGACUUGAAC